rnacentral:pre_miRNA from 14 species
CUUCUAUUCGAUACGCCCCUAAUCUACAGGAUCCUUGUCUGAAACGAAAUUGUGUGUAUGCAAGGAUUCCUCAAAAUCAGGUCUUCGAGUCAGCU